GGCAGGCAGGCAGCUCGCGAACAGCUAAAGGCUGUGAGGGAGUGAGCGAGCGAGCCAGUGAGUGAGUGAGGAGUCCAGGGGUAGAGCUGCGUCAGGCAUGAAGCACCUGGGACGCUUGCCAGCUCCUGACAAAAGCCUCCACCACACGCUCCACUCGCAGAGACGCCGUCAAGCCCUCACUCCUGGACACCUCGCAAAUCCCGGACAUUGUCGUGGAGAUCGCUGGCAUGGUCGGCUGACAAGAGAUGUCGGACAUUUUUAUUCAUUGUUCUGCAGAGUAGCUGCCAGGCCAUUGACCAUUGAGAGACGGCUUGAUUGCUGGCUUAGUCCUGGCUGGAUGAUGGCUCACUCUUGCCUAAUUGACAGCUGUUCUUGAGGCUGAGGUAGUAGAUUGAAUAGUUGUGGGGUGCGAUCCUCCCUCUGAGAUAACUAUACAAUCUACUGUCUUUCCUAAAGAGACAGACUGACCUCCAGGCUGACCACUCACCACAUCUGUUGGAACGUCCAGGACACAGGCAGAAAUUCAUAUCCAAAUAUGUAACAUCAAUGAUGCUGCCCAUAUUAAACAUUAUCUAGUAACUUUA